GACGAACGCUGGCGGCGUGCUUAACACAUGCAAGUCGAACGGAAAGGCCCUGCUUUUGUGGGGUGCUCGAGUGGCGAACGGGCGAGUAACACGUGAGUAACCUGCCCUUGACUUUGGGAUAACUUCAGGAAACUGGGGCUAAUACCGGAUAGGAGCUCCUGCUGCAUGGUGGGGGUUGGAAAGUUUCGGCGGUUGGGGAUGGACUCGCGGCUUAUCAGCUUGUUGGUGGGGUAGUGGCUUACCAAGGCUUUGACGGGUAGCCGGCCUGAGAGGGUGACCGGCCACAUUGGGACUGAGAUACGGCCCAGACUCCUACGGGAGGCAGCAGUGGGGAAUAUUGCACAAUGGGCGGAAGCCUGAUGCAGAAACGCCGCGUGCGGGAUGACGGCCUUCGGGUUGUAAACCGCUUUCGCCUGUGACGAAGCGUGAGUGACGGUAAUGGGUAAAGAAGCACCGGCUAACUACGUG
rnacentral:rRNA from 1 species